UACGUAGGUGGCAAGCGUUGUUCGGAUUUACUGGGCGUAAAGGGCGCGUAGGCGGCGCGGUAAGUCACUUGUGAAAUCUCUGAGCUUAACUCAGAACGGCCAAGUGAUACUGCAGUGCUAGAGUGCAGAAAGGGCAAUCGGAAUUCUUGGUGUAGCGGUGAAAUGCGUAGAUAUCAAGAGGAACACCUGAGGCGAAGGCGGGUUGCUAGGCUGACACUGACGCUGAGUGCGCGAAAGCCAGGGGAGCAAACGGG
rnacentral:rRNA from 1 species